rnacentral:lncRNA from 1 species
CGAUACCGGUACGGCGAACCUUAGUUUAAACUAAGCUGGAUCAUUUCUGGUGUGUUUCCACAACGUGGCAGGUGACCGGCUGAAAGCAAAAGGCUAAUUUACAAUUUUAUGAUUGCAUUUUCACAUUUCUGCAUCUAGGGCAAAGAAGUCUAGUCGACUUGUAAUCGAGGAGAAAAUUUCUUCAAUUUUUAACAUCAGAAGAUAAGCCAUUUGUUAUGUUGACAAAGGUGAGCACCUCCUGGCUAAAAUCAUGUAGUUAGGAUAUCUACUGAUUUUGACCAAUCUAAGAUUGACUUAGAUUAGGCUACAUAUAUAUCCCUAUUAACAGUCUCUACAAUUCUUUAAUUUAGGAUUUGGAAUGUUGAAUUCAAGCAAGGAGGAGAAACUUCGCAAUUUCUUUGAAUUUUAGCAUCAGAAGGCAAGUGGAUUUUAAUGUUGACACAAUGACAUCACCUUUUACUUUAAAUCGUGUGGUGCUGUGUUAUAUGGGCACACGUGUCUAGCUCCAAAAUUCCAUGUUAGAUACGUAUCAGACACUUGGAUACUUACAAAAAUCUUUGGAAGCCACUUUUAGAUAUUGGAAGAGUUCAACUCUUCCAACAAUGAGUUUGAUCAUCUAUUUUGAUAUUAUCUGUUCAUUUCAGAUAUUGGUAAAAAAUAUAGAUACUGAAACAACUUUACAAAAUAUUAUUUUUUUAAAACAUUAAGUUAAUUUGGAUGUUUGAAUGAGAAACAUGUAUAAUGAAGGAUUUGACAAACAAUGUUUUUUCAAUAUUUUCUUUUUAAUGCUUAAACGAACAAUAUUUAAAGGUACAAAUAUAUGAUUUAGUUAAAAAUAUAAUUUAUCCUACGCGUUCCCUUUGUUGAGUUAGAUACUUAGAUAUGCAUUGGAAUCUGAUUCUUGUAUUAAAGCAACCGAUGACUUAGUUUAGACUUUGUAAAUAUCAUGAUGAAUCGACUGCAAUUCUCAUUGUCUAGGCUUUAUGAGUAUCACUAUCAAGAGAUAUCUUCAACUCCCGUAUAUCUUUCUCCCAAUCUCUCACUUCCUAUGCUUCCACCUCUCCACCACGCCUCUCAUUUCUUCAUAAUCUCCUCAAAUGUCCUUUUCAAUCACGUAUCUUCCCAUACUCUAUUUCCUCGCAACCCCUUCCUUUGCUAUCAUGUAUCUUCUCACUCCCAAGAAUCAACUCCCCUAUUUAUUAUCCUAUUUAUUAUACAAACUUUAUCUUUCCAAAAUUUCUUCACUACUUAGUUUUUCCUCCUAACAUGUUAGCACAAGCCCAUUUUCUUCCUGUAUCUCCUAGUUCUUCUCUUAGCAGCAGGAAUCUUUUAGUUGAGGUGUUGCAACUACUUCGACAUCUCCUUGGAAACUCAUCCCUGCACCCAUUUUCUUAUCAAAAGAAUUUAGAGACCUGCUUACCUGCACCCACACCUGAAUCCACUCUUGCACUUGCACCUGCUUGUGGUAACUAUGGGUCUUUUAUCUCCCUCUUCUACCAUCCUAGUUCUUCUAUCUCCUCUUGUUCAUUCUAUUUUUUCUCUCCUUUAUCUUUUUCCUCCUCUUUAAUAAAUUAUAUACCAUGAGGUAAUAUACUGAACACUGCCAAUGCCACUACUUGUGUCAAGCACACUAGCAUGCAAGUAGCACUAUGACAGUGCUACAUGCCAACGAGACACUAUAUAUAAUGCAUACUCUCCCUGCCAGAUUAUAUGUGCCGACUGGCACUUUAAUUCAUGAGCAAAAUACAUCUUUAUCCCAAGACCCUGAAGCAAGCCCUUUUAAUCUUGGGAACCUUUAUAUCUAGAUACUUCAGCAUAGAUUUUCCCAGCAUACAAUCAUUCAACAAUGUAAACCAAAUCUGAUCCAUUUGAAGAACUUGGCAAGUAAUUAAGCCUCUGGUCUCCCUUUAAUUAGUUGUUGAAUAACCACUGACAUCAUGGGCCAAGAAAUUGGUAAUAUUUAAAAAGACCCCUUACCCUGCCUUGCAUACUACCUACACAAUUCCCUAGCACUAGGCCUAAUCCAAACCAGCAAUGAUUGCAUCCAAUAAAUCACUGACCACUCAAGUGUAUCCUUGCAACUACAUCAUACCUUAGACCACUUAAGUAUAGGCUUACACAAGGUUCGCCGUCUUAGUACCAGACCCCGUACCAGUGCCAUACUAGCACAGUGUCGGUACAAUAUGGUACGAAUUUUUUUUGGCGUACCGAGUAUCGGUACGCCAUCUAUAUCGGGUACCAGUACCGAACCGGUACAGUACGGUAUGCCCCAUACUGCCCAGUUCAGUACGGUGUGACGUACAUAGGACUUGCAACUAGUAAUUGAACACAUCUCCAUAAUUGGAUCUUUUGUACAUCAACACACUCAAGCAUAGGCCUACAACCUUGUUAGGUCCAAACCAAGACAAUCAAGACCUGCAUUUGACCUGAUUUUCUUUCUAAGUCAAGAGUUUCGACAAGUACACGCUCCAUUAGCUAAUCAAGUCGGAUUGGCUCAAAUCCACAGAAAACUUCUCUAUGGCCAAGGCAAGCAAGACAUAUACCUAAUAAAAUGCACAUUCUGGUCUAGAUAUGGCCACAUCUAAGUCUAGGUUUAAUGCAACUAUGCAAGACAAAAGGAACAUGCACUAAUUUUUCUCUGUUUAGAAUGAAGACUAAUAACAACAUAGUCACGAGUAAAGAAAAUUUAAAAAGGCGGUUAGUGCAGAUUGCUACCACCAAUUUUAUUGAUAUGGAGAUGAUUCAACCUCAAUCAAGACUUCAAACUUCUAAUAAAUAGCCUAAAUAUCCAAUCUACAAACAUGAAAAAGGCAACAAGGUGAGCUAUAACAGGUCAGGACAUGGAUUUUUUGAGUUGGAUCAAACUGAGGCCUGUCAGAUCAAGUCAUCAAAUGCUUUAACCUUAGUUACCAAAAGUGGGUGUACGUGCAAAACCGGACUCAUGUGUGGGUAUGGGGAAGUAAAAACCCUUUUAGUUAAAAAAUUCUUACGACGCAGGCACAAGAAUGAGUUUCUAGGAAGAUUCAAAAAUGAAUGUGCCAUCCUAAGUGCAAGGCUCCUGCUACUAAAGUUUUACCUGCUGUACACCCAGUAAGUACACAAACUGACUUGACACCAGGUCAGUAGAAAAAAAUAUGGCUCUGACCUUAUUUUACAAAUGGGCCACUUUCUAGACACAAUCUCUAUCUACAAGUUUAAAAAACCAGGAUCUGACUCAUUUGUGAGCCUACUCAAGUGGCAAUAAGAAUAAAAAGCACCGACAAUGCAAUGUGCAUUGACAACAAAAUAAUGCAAUAUCUAAAGCUCUUCGUUGGAUACAUAUUACCUUUUAGAGAUACCAAUUCAACCAUAUACCUUAAUAUUGAAUGAUUUAAAUUAGAUUUCCUCAAAUUAAAAAAAAAAAAACAAUCUUUGUUUCUCAUGCUAAACUUUGAUGUCUUGCAAGUAAGUUUCUAAUGUUUAUAGUGCAAAAAUUAUAUUCUUUCAAAUGUACAUCAUGAUUUUGGAGGCUUAUCACAACAUUCUUAUGUCUACUAAAGGCAUAUAUUGGACCUUGUUCUUAGUGCACACGAUUACCCUUCUCCUUAAAAAGAAAGUUUACCCAAUAAUAGAAUAGCAAGAUAGGAAGAAUAACCAAGAGUAGAGAACUCUCAAACUCACAUAACAUGGAGAAGAGAACUAGAAUUUUUAUUCAAUUCAAGAUAGUGUUCUAUAAUGGCUAGGCAACCCUAUUUAUAGAUGUAGGAUCCCUUGAACCUAUACAUGACUGUGUCCACAUUCAUUUCUUGCUGAAAAGGUAAGAGAAUUUACAAAUAAGGAAAAUAAUCAUAGAAAAGAAUCUCCCCUAUAAUCUACUAGGAUUUGAUUUGGUACAAAUGCGAAAAGUCGUCGCAGAAAUAAUCAUUAUCUCUCCUCAUGAUUGGAUUGGAUCUGUAAUUGACUUUUUAUCGAGCCUUUCUAAGUCUGCCUAAAAAGUUGAUGAUAUCAGCCUUAUUUGACCAUAUCUCUAAGGUUUGUUUUCUUCAUUUAUAGGCUUCCCAAACUUAUGUUGGGCCUAGUGCUGAACCCCUUGGUUCCUCUAGUCAGUCUCAGACAUAAACUGAGUCAGAUAUAUGUCCGCUAUGUGGCAUCAGUUCAGAAGUUGCCCUUUGGUUCUAAAAUUUUUCCUCAAUCAUUUCAAAUAAUUCAGUUUAUAUCAUGCCAAAACCAGUAAAGUCCAAGCCUAAUACCUAGUUGGAAUAUGCUUUUAAUGUUUCUUUAGUAGGAUAACAAGACCUUAUAGAGUUCCCUCUAUGUGGAAGUUAUAUAGCUAGUUCCAAGACAGUCCAAGUGGGAAUAUCUUUAUGAAAAGUCACACCCACAAACUUAAGCAUAUCUUAGUGAAUCAUCAAAAAGUCAUAAAUCCAUUUCUUCAUCAUGGGUUGCAUCAUAGAACUCAUUAGGAAUAUUAUUCUUUGAUUGUUUCUUUAGUAGGAUAACAAGACCUAACAGAGUUCCCUCUAUCUGGAAGUUAUAUAGCUAGUUCCAACACAGUCCAAGUGGCAAUAUCUUUAUGAAAAGUCACACCCACAAACUUAAGCAUAUCUUAGUGAAUCAUCAAAAAAGUCAUAAAUCCAUUUCUUCAUGGUGGGUUGCAUCAUAAUGUAACAACAACUCAUUAGGAAUAUUAUUCUUUGAUUAUUUUAGGUUGAUUUACGAUGGAUGACUUGAAAAGUAAGAUGCCAAUCAGAAAUGUUAGGUAAGCAAGGUGCUGGGCUAGAUUAAGGAUUCAAAAUUGAAAUGCAAAGAAUAAUAUUCUGAUAAAAUUCAAUACUCAUCAUCAAUCACAAGUGCCAUACCAACCAGUACCAUCUGGUACUAGGCAUACCAUGUUGUACCUCUAAGAUACUUGUAUGAUACAAGGCCAGAUAGGGUACUAUACAGAUAUCUGGUACAGCUACUGUCUCACCUCUAACAAUGUAUCAUGUGUCAUGUCAGUACGGAAUAUAACGUUAGGGGUGCAAAUGGGUCGGGUCGGAUCGGGUCCUAGGUGACCCCGAUCUGACCCGGUUUUUUGUUCGGAUCUUAAUUUUGGACCCAGACCCGACCCAAUUGAAGAUCGGGUCGGGUCGGGUCCGAGUUGGGUCCGGGUCGGGUCCGGAUCCGAGUCGGGUCGGGUUCGGGUCCGAGUCGGGUCGGGUUCGGGUUCGGGUCCGAGUCGGGUCGGUUUUUUAUAUUUUUGGGAAAGAAUUUGGGAAAAUCUAAUUUGGUCAUAUCAUAAUUAUACGGUGCUGGGUGACCCAUGACUUGAAAGACUUGCAAUUGAUCUCCAGUCAGAACAGAUGACCCCGACUUACUAACUAAGUCGGUCUACAAGCCAAAUUUCAUAUCACACUAUUUUUUGUCCAUAUGACUGAUUGGACGGAACUUGGUGUCUCCCAGCUCCCCUCUCACAAAGACAAAAAAA